GGUUAAGCGACUAAGCGUACACGGUGGAUGCCCUGGCAGUCAGAGGCGAUGAAGGACGUGCUAAUCUGCGAUAAGCGUCGGUAAGGUGAUAUGAACCGUUAUAACCGGCGAUUUCCGAAUGGGGAAACCCAGUGUGAUUCGUCACACUAUCAUUAACUGAAUCCAUAGGUUAAUGAGGCGAACCGGGGGAACUGAAACAUCUAAGUACCCCGAGGAAAAGAAAUCAACCGAGAUUCCCCCAGUAGCGGCGAGCGAACGGGGAGCAGCCCAGAGCCUGAAUCAGUGUGUGUGUUAGUGGAAGCGUCUGGAAAGGCGCGCGAUACAGGGUGACAGCCCCGUACACAAAAAUGCACAUGCUGUGAGCUCGAUGAGUAGGGCGGGACACGUGGUAUCCUGUCUGAAUAUGGGGGGACCAUCCUCCAAGGCUAAAUACUCCUGACUGACCGAUAGUGAACCAGUACCGUGAGGGAAAGGCGAAAAGAACCCCGGCGAGGGGAGUGAAAAAGAACCUGAAACCGUGUACGUACAAGCAGUGGGAGCACGCUUAGGCGUGUGACUGCGUACCUUUUGUAUAAUGGGUCAGCGACUUAUAUUCUGUAGCAAGGUUAACCGAAUAGGGGAGCCGAAGGGAAACCGAGUCUUAACUGGGCGUUAAGUUGCAGGGUAUAGACCCGAAACCCGGUGAUCUAGCCAUGGGCAGGUUGAAGGUUGGGUAACACUAACUGGAGGACCGAACCGACUAAUGUUGAAAAAUUAGCGGAUGACUUGUGGCUGGGGGUGAAAGGCCAAUCAAACCGGGAGAUAGCUGGUUCUCCCCGAAAGCUAUUUAGGUAGCGCCUCGUGAAUUCAUCUCCGGGGGUAGAGCACUGUUUCGGCAAGGGGGUCAUCCCGACUUACCAACCCGAUGCAAACUGCGAAUACCGGAGAAUGUUAUCACGGGAGACACACGGCGGGUGCUAACGUCCGUCGUGAAGAGGGAAACAACCCAGACCGCCAGCUAAGGUCCCAAAGUCAUGGUUAAGUGGGAAACGAUGUGGGAAGGCCCAGACAGCCAGGAUGUUGGCUUAGAAGCAGCCAUCAUUUAAAGAAAGCGUAAUAGCUCACUGGUCGAGUCGGCCUGCGCGGAAGAUGUAACGGGGCUAAACCAUGCACCGAAGCUGCGGCAGCGACGCUUAUGCGUUGUUGGGUAGGGGAGCGUUCUGUAAGCCUGUGAAGGUGUGCUGUGAGGCAUGCUGGAGGUAUCAGAAGUGCGAAUGCUGACAUAAGUAACGAUAAAGCGGGUGAAAAGCCCGCUCGCCGGAAGACCAAGGGUUCCUGUCCAACGUUAAUCGGGGCAGGGUGAGUCGACCCCUAAGGCGAGGCCGAAAGGCGUAGUCGAUGGGAAACAGGUUAAUAUUCCUGUACUUGGUGUUACUGCGAAGGGGGGACGGAGAAGGCUAUGUUGGCCGGGCGACGGUUGUCCCGGUUUAAGCGUGUAGGCUGGUUUUCCAGGCAAAUCCGGAAAAUCAAGGCUGAGGCGUGAUGACGAGGCACUACGGUGCUGAAGCAACAAAUGCCCUGCUUCCAGGAAAAGCCUCUAAGCAUCAGGUAACAUCAAAUCGUACCCCAAACCGACACAGGUGGUCAGGUAGAGAAUACCAAGGCGCUUGAGAGAACUCGGGUGAAGGAACUAGGCAAAAUGGUGCCGUAACUUCGGGAGAAGGCACGCUGAUAUGUAGGUGAAGUCCCUCGCGGAUGGAGCUGAAAUCAGUCGAAGAUACCAGCUGGCUGCAACUGUUUAUUAAAAACACAGCACUGUGCAAACACGAAAGUGGACGUAUACGGUGUGACGCCUGCCCGGUGCCGGAAGGUUAAUUGAUGG
rnacentral:rRNA from 1 species